CCUACGGGUGGCAGCAGUGGGGAAUAUUGGACAAUGGGGGCAACCCUGAUCCAGCCAUGCCGCGUGUGUGAAGAAGGCCCUCGGGUUGUAAAGCACUUUCAGUGAGGAAGAACGCCUGGUGGUUAAUACCCAUCAGGAAAGACAUCACUCACAGAAGAAGCACCGGCUAACUCCGUGCCAGCAGCCGCGGUAAUACGGAGGGUGCGAGCGUUAAUCGGAAUUACUGGGCGUAAAGCGCGCGUAGGUGGCUUGAUAAGCCGGUUGUGAAAGCCCCGGGCUCAACCUGGGAACGGCAUCCGGAGCUGUCAAGCUAGAGUGCAGGAGAGGAAGGUAGAAUUCCCGGUGUAGCGGUGAAAUGCGUAGAGAUCGGGAGGAAUACCAGUGGCGAAGGCGGCCUUCUGGACUGACACUGACACUGAGGUGCGAAAGCGUGGGUAGCAAACAGGAUUAGAUACCCCGGUAGUC
rnacentral:rRNA from 1 species